rnacentral:snRNA from 1 species
UUCCUUUUAGCAGCGAAUAUACUAAAAUUGGAAUGAUACAAAGUAGAUUACCUUGGCCCCUGGGCAAGGAUGACACACAAAUUCCUGAAGUAUUUUAUAUUUAA